UUGAUCAUGGCUCAGAUUGAACGCUGGCGGUAUGCUUAACACAUGCAAGUCGAACGGUAGCAGGCCUUCGGGCGCUGACGAGUGGCGGACGGGUGAGUAACGCGUAGGAAUCUGCCUCAUAGUGGGGGACAACGUGGGGAAACUCACGCUAAUACCGCAUACGCCCUACGGGGAAAGCGGGGGAUCUUCGGACCUCGCGCUAUGAGAUGAGCCUGCGUUAGAUUAGCUAGUUGGUAGGGUAAAGGCCUACCAAGGCGACGAUCUAUAGCUGGUCUGAGAGGACGAUCAGCCACACUGGGACUGAGACACGGCCCAGACUCCUACGGGAGGCAGCAGUGGGGAAUAUUGGGACAAUGGGCGCAAGCCUGAUCCAGCAAUACCGCGUGUGUGAAGAAGGCCUUAGGGUUGUAAAGCACUUUCAAUUGGGAGGAAAACCUGUCGGUCAAUACCGGCAGCUUGACAUUACCUUUAGAAGAAGCACCGGCUAACUCCGUGCCAGCAGCCGCGGUAAUACGG
rnacentral:rRNA from 1 species